UCUAGGCUCCCGUCGCGAUCAGCCGAGUCAGAAGUGAUCGAUGCUCAGUGCAGUCCAUGGUAAGGUCAGCACCGAUUCUUCGAAGAAUCUUCGCGCCGACUGAACCAGUAGUCGCAAGCGACGAAAGACACAAGCCUGUUCAAGCGCCAGAGAGGUACUGAUCAUGUCAGAGGACACUACAGAGCACCUGGUGGGGUCCAGCACCCUCUGGACAGACCUCAGGGUUCUCCUGCCUAACACUGAGGAGGAGCUGAAGCUGGACCUCGGUGAGAAGGUGGACAGGAGCAUAGCUUCGUUGCUACAGCAGGCUGUGGGUCUAUUCUAUGCAGGCCAUUGGCAGGAGUGUCUGCAGGCCAGCGAGGCCGUUUUGGACUACUCCUGGGAAAAGCUCAACAUUGGUCCCUGGGAAGAUGUAGACAAGGAAUGGCGCCGAGUUUAUUCCUUUGGCUGCCUCCUGAAGGCCCUGUGCCUGUGCCAGGCAUCACAGAAGGCCAGUGCUGUGACUGAAGCACUACGGGUGUGUGACAUGGGCCUGUUGAUGGGGGCAGCCAUCCUUGAGGACAUUCUUCUCAAAGUUAUUGCAGUCCUCCAGACACACCUGCUCCCUAGGAAGCAGCCUGCCUGUGGCCCCCACCAGGAUCAGCCUGCUACCAAGAAGGCAAAUUGUGAUGCCAGCUCAGCUCCCGAUGUGACGUUAGAGCAGGCAGUGCCCAGGCUUCGCUGCCCACCUCUGCAGUACUUCAAGAAGCACUUUCUAGUUCCUGGGAGGCCUGUGAUCUUGGAAGGUGUGGCUGACCACUGGCCAUGCAUGAAGAAGUGGAGUCUGCAGUACAUCCAGGAGAUCGCUGGCUGCCGCACUGUCCCCGUGGAAGUGGGUUCAAGGUACACAGAUGAAGACUGGACCCAGAUUCUCAUGACAGUCAAUGAGUUCAUCCACAAAUACAUCCUGAGCAAGACAAAGGAUGUCGGGUACCUUGCUCAGCACCAGCUGUUCGACCAGGUGAGUCUGAGACCAUGUUCCUGCCCUGCUCCUCUGCUCCCAGUAAGCACACACGGCUAUCUUCUGGUGUUACCCUUUGGAGCGAGGGAUCCCCCUGAUUACCAAAGGCAGCAGUGGAGCAAAUUGAACUGCCAGGCUGGAGAGAUUGAGUAUGCUGAGACUGGGGGCCCAGUUUGGAUCAGGAUGACCUACCAAAGACUUAAAGGUGCAGCUUGGCUGAACUGGAGUAGGAUUGGGUGGGAGACUAUUUCCAUUAAGAAACUCCCCAGCACCAAAGCUUUAGGAAAGUGUGGAGACCACCAGCCAGGAGGUUACACAAGAGUGGGAGAGCCAGGUGGUAGAGGCCUGAAAUGUCAUACAGGACUCUGGAUUUAAUCAGGAAACGAUGGAGGCCUGUGAGGUCCCUGAUGAGCAAGAAGGCUCCCUGGAGAUCUCCAGCAGUAUAAGAAAUAAAUGCAAGGUUUCUGAACAGAGCAGAUACUGCUGCCUCCUCUCCCAGAGCAGGCCCUUAAGAGCAGAUUACUAGGCCUGCCCCUCCUGGUGUUAGCCCACUGCCACCCAACACAUCAUCUGCAUGUAUGACCAUCAUGUGAGAAAACAGACUCUAUGCAUCAGCAGCUAGACUGCCUUUCCAUGUUGAGCUACCUGUACCUGGGUGUGGUGCACACACCUUGAAUCUAAGCACUUGGGAGGCUGAGCUGCAUAAGGAAUCCUUCCAAGCUGUCUGGUUAAGAUACUGAGACAGUGCAGAGGGCUCAUCCUGGGGAUGGCCCUACCUGCUUAUCUGGAGCCUUGGCCAGGGAUAGAAGGCAAAGCUGCUGUUAUCUUUAGGGUGAGUCAGAAGUGUGUAAGGCUAUUUCAGGCAGAUUAUACUGUCUGUCCCUCAGCACUAGUUUUUCUCUGCUGUUCAGAGCACCUCAAGGAGGAGUUUGAGCAGCCAUGUAUCUUGGGGACUGGACACAGGCUCUUUUCUAGGACCUCUGUGUCUAUAGGAAGCUUAAACUACUGACAGGUGCUUGCCAGGAACCUUACACUGACAUUCCUCCCAGUGUGGUGUCUUGGAAGCCUCUGGCCACUGCCUUGGGCUUGGCAGUAGUCACAUCUCUGGAGCAUGUGUUUUCUGAGGGUCUCUGAAUCCUUAGUCAAGGAUUUUGAUAUACAGCCAACCAAUCACCCUUUACAAUUCCUGAUGACAUCAUCAGGAACCAAUCAGAGUGAUGCUCAGCAUCCAGGAGCAAGGCUUGGUCCCAUUCAAUCAAAGCAGUAAUUUGGUAUGCUCGGAGCCUGGGGUUCUAGCCACAUUGGAGAUUGUGGACUACCCAGUUCUGCUCAAUUGCUAAUAAGACCCUUCCUCACCACUAAUUUGCUCUGAAUGCCCGCUUUAGUCCCCUGGUGGCUAGGAAAUGUACUCAACUUGGUCCUAGGGCUCUCUUUUCUGGCUUCUGAACACUGUUCAAUAAACUCCUUUCUUCUCAGAGUAAGUUUAGUAGGAAGCCUACUUUGCCAGUCUUUGUAAUAAUUUAUUUAAAAUAUACCAGUUGCAAUUUCCUUACUGGUAGUAACUUUUUGAAAAUUAUCCUCCAGAGAUCUGAUAAAUAUCCAGUACAUUGGACUUUUGAGGAUUAUUUGUUUUUGAAAUAAGAUCUCACUGUGUCACCCAUGCUUACAUCCUGGGUCAUGCUUGUCAUACUCCUGUCUCAGCUUGCCAAGUGCUGAAAUUGCAGAUCCCAGAGUUGAAGCAGGACAUCAGCAUCCCGGAUUACUGUUGCCUGGGCAAUGGAGAAGAGGAAGAGAUCACUAUCAAUGCCUGGUUUGGUCCCCAAGGCACCGUCUCC